rnacentral:rRNA from 1 species
GCCCCCCGAAUUGUGGUCUAGAAAGGCGCCAUCGGCCGCGCCCGCCGCUCAAAUCCCUUGGAACAGGGUAUCGGAGAAGGUGAGAAUCCUGUGCCGUGGCGGAUCGCGGCCGCACGAUGCGUCCUUGUCGAGUCGGGUUGCUUGGGAUUGCAGCUUGAAGUGGGUGGUAAAUUCCAUCUAAAGCUAAAUACUGGCGAGAGACCGAUAGCGAACAAGUACCGUGAGGGAAAGAUGCAAAGAACUUUGAAAAGAGAGUCAAAGAGUGCUUGAAAUUGGUAGGAGGAAACCCGUAUGCGCCCAGCACAGGUCCGCCAACUCAGCCGCGUGCUCUUCCUUCCGGCGACCGCAAGGCGCCUUUGGUCUGUGCGCGCGGUGCACUUUGUCGGUCCGAGUCAUCCGCCGCCCCUGCGUCGUCACGCGUCCCUCUGCGAGGCUCCGGCGAGCAUUGGGCUCUGUCUCCGCGGGCGCGCCGGCUGACGGAAAUGGGCGCAUCCGACCCGUCUAGAAACACGGACCAAGGAGUCUGACACGUGUGCGAGUACCCGGGUGGCAAGCCCGCGUGCGCAAUGAAAGUGAAGGGCAUGCCCUGCCAACCGACCUUGACCUGCUGCGAAGGGUUUGAGUGGAGCACACCUGUCGGGACCCGAAAGAUGGUGAACUAUGCCUGAGGAGGGUGAAGCCAGAGGAAACUCUGGUGGAGGCUCGUAGCGAUACUGACGUGCAAAUCGUUCGUCGAACUUGGGUAUAGGGGCGAAAGACUAAUCGAACCAUCUAGUAGCUGGUUCCCUCCGAAGUUUCCCUCAGGAUAGCUUGAGCGCCGACGGUUUUG